AAAAACUGUUUAAAAUGCAGUAAAUUCUAAUUCUAUUUAAAUAACUUUUAAAAAUAAAGCUGUUACAGCAAUAGUGAAUGCUUUAAGAAAAAAAACACUGUUGAAUGAAAAAAAAAGAAUUAAUCUACUUUGGAACUACAAACCAGUUCUAUCCUGUUAAGUCUUUCUACUUUUUAUUUGCUUAAUUUAUUGUGAUUUAUUCAAUAUUUUGGUAUGUAAAGCUCUGGAAGCCCAUCUUCUUUUUCAUCUAGUUCUAUUCUUUGUCUUUGGACCAGGUGGAUCCAUCUCUUCUCUGUUUUUUAUUUUUAUUUAUUUUUUGUCUUUUGUUUCUGUUGGUUAAAUUUGAAUCAUAUCCCUAGCAAGACCCCACCCUCGAUUCCUGAAGCCAACCAGGAAGCACCAACGUCUUGCUGCGCUGGAGUCUUCCUUCCAGCUGCACUCGUGGGUGCCUCGCUGUUGUGCUGGACGAGGGCGUUCUCGGCUUUCUUCCGGCGCGUCUUAAUGUUGAUCUGAGCUGACGUGUUUCUUGAAACACCCGGCAGAGAAACAGAGGCGGAAAGGCAAACUUCAAAUCUCCUCCAAAACAGCCAGGAUCUGCCUGCUGUGGGCUGCAGCUCCCACAAAGCAGCGAGCGAGGCGUUGAUUGGAGCGCCCACACCGGCGCGCUCUUUCUGUGCAAAGCUGUGGGCUUAGCUGCACCCCAGCUGCUGCUGUGCAUGCUUUACUUCAGACCCCAGUGGAAACACCAGCUGAAGGUCACGACCUGAAAAACUGCCUUCAGCUAGGAUGAGUUUUGCUUUCCUUCGUCUGCAUGGACAACAUAUUGCUUUUAAAAAAUUAAAGAUAGAAGUUUUUUUAAGCAGAAGCAGCUUGCUCCUAUCUCCUCUUUGUUUAAGAAAAGUUCUCACAAAACUAAUUAAGUUUGAGAUUUCCUUAUUUAAGCUUCUACGCAGUUUUAAUUGGAUGUGUGUUGGAGAUGGGCCAGCCCGCUCCCGAGCUGGAUUUGAAACUCCCUGACCAUCAGAGAAGGUGAAAGGUUCCUGUGUGAUGGCACAGCCAGAUACGGAGACUUUAUUUCCCCAAACAGGAUAGUAAUUAAUUGGACGAACGGCUUGUGGAAUCCUGUUUUCCAUGGUCCGUAACCAUCCAUAUGCUGGGAGUCCGGCCAUCCAAAGCCCUAAUAAAGAUUUAGAGAGAUCCACAG